UUGAAAGACGGGUGUCCUGGCUCAAGUUCGCACUUCCUAUACAGUGUUAAAGCCUUGUAUCGGAAGUUUGGGCUUCGUCCCAGUGUACUCGAUAAUGUCG
rnacentral:pre_miRNA from 1 species